CUGCCACAUCGAUGACUGCAAUUACUACUAAAAAUGAUGACGGGCAUGAUUCUAACUUUUUUCACUGAUGGUGAAGAGCGUACAUCUCCCCAUUUACAUUAUUUCCUGAAGACGGACUCGUCCCCGGGGACACGCAGCUGUCAUGGAACUGGGCACAGAAUUCCAGACUGCAGCCUCAGAACAGCGUGGAGACGACAAGGCAUAACUUUGACCUCAUCGGCACGAUGGAGCCCCAUGUCCUGACAGGCACCACAGGCAGCUCCAGGCCUGUGAGGAAUCCAGCUAGAUUGAAGACCAGGCCUGUCGGGGAGCCUGAGGCUUGAGUUGGCUGCAAGGAAUGCAUCCUCGCGAGCUGCGGAAGAUGGGGCGCGUGCGCACGCGUGCCCCAUCUAGUUACUCAGCUGUUCUAGGGCACUGCGCGAUUUGCUGCCACAGCACGGCUGAUGAAUGGUGUUUGUCUGCGCCUGGGAUCCGACCCCACAAACCCAGGCCACCAAAGCAAAUUGUGCCAAGUCAACCACUAGGCCACAGGGCUGGCCCCUCGACUUUAGCCCCUCGACUUUUUCUCUUGGUUGCUUCCUCCUAGAACGUUCCAUCAUCCAGUGACAGAAACGCUCCCAUCUGGGGAGAGCUGUGAAGACGUCAUCUGCCUCUCUGUGUGUCUGUGGUGUCUGUGCUAUAUAGCGUUCGGUUUUGUGGGGUUGUUUUAGAAACAUGCCUGUUUAUGAACGUGCAUCUUUGAUGUUGACAGCACAUGCCCUUAGGACUUUAACCAACCCCCCAGCUCGUUGCCCUCUGGUGCUUUCUUAGAGGUGCUGUUUGCUCAUCGUUCACGCUGAUGGUAAACGUUUUUGACGGUGCAUGGAUAUCACGUGCCUGUUUAUUUAUUUAUAAAUGAUACCCGUAAACAACUGUCCUAACACAUCUACGUUAUAAAGAAAAAUGUAGGAUUUUACACGGAAUAAGACAAAAUAAACACCGGUAGGAGUAUUCGUACUUUCUUCCGCAUGCCAUGGGUUUACUUGCACGUUCCCAGAGUUUGAACACACCUGAUGGA